AGGCUAGAAAGAGAGAAGCAAGGCAUGGGAUCAGGGCCAUCUCAUGUGAGAGCUGAGGCUCAGUGUUGGACCAAACCCACAACUGCUACGAGUUGUCCCGGCUCCACAGCAGUUUCCACAGAGUGAGAGUGCCAGUCACCAACACUCUGGUUUGGGGGCUGCUAACCAAAAUGCAGGCCUUGGACUGGAUCAUUUCAAUAAAUUCAGAUGCACAGAUCACUGUACAGUUGGAAAGGUCUACGUGCCCACCUCCUGUUGUUUCUGCCACCUGUUUUGGCAGAAACAACAAAAUAGGUUUUGUGUGCGUGCCUGUGUGUAUUGCAUAAUUCACGAUCCAAACUGAAUCCAAAAUAUUUGGAUGGCAGCCCGUCCCACAUUUGCUUGGUGGAGCUGGAGAGGCAUGCCAAGAGCAGCACCAACAGCUGGCGGCCCAUGAUGCUCCGACCCCCAGGCUGGAGACACAAUCCAGAGACUGUGCAAGUAAAAAGGGUCCUGGCUUUUUAAACCAGCUCUGUAGGCAGCUGAGGUCUGCGCUGGUGAAAGCAAAGCAAGGGAUCGCUUUCAGCCCAGAUACAGACCACCUCUCCUACCAAAGCUCUGCAGGUCAUUCAUUUUAUUGAAUAUUUAUUUUAGUGGUGACCAGGAAGCAUUUCACAAGUCACUGCUGUUGUACAGUUGGAAGCUCAGCUCAACCACACCUGAGAACAGCAAGUAGAGAGAGAGUAAAUAACUAUUUUCCUCAUGCUGGAGGUGGGGAGUAAGCAUGGAGAAGGUGUAAGAUUGACUCAGCAUCACCCACCAUCAGCCCCUGGCCUGGCCCCCCCACGUCUGGGAUCCACAACAAAUACAUGUGUCCCAGGGAAGACAUAUGCAGGGUGGGUGUAAGAGCCAUUCUGUUCCUUGGCAGAAUGAAGCUAGACUGGAUAAGACAGUACAAGCUGUGCCAGUCUUCUUUGGUUUGCAUCUCUUUUAACAAGUCCUGUGACUGUCGCAGAGCCAAGGCACAUCUUACAUCUCGCAGAGGAAUUGGGACCAUACGUGGCUGUAUACCCUGGGACAAAGAGCCAAGAAACACGCCAAAACAAUAAGCGUUGACACAAUAAUUAGCAUAUUGAUUCUCCAUGCAAAUUACCUCUUCAUACAUUGUGAAAUACUUUGCAUCGUCAGAGGACUUCAGAAGAGCCUGGAGUUUCUUACAGGCACCACGAAAAUUAAAUACACGUCUUCAG